GCAAGUUUCCUGAACCAAACUCUGAGGACUCAGAUAAAAAGAGUAUGACGAGAGUUUGAGCAAAAAGGCAGCAGAAGAUGGACUGACAGACCAGAAAAGACAUUGUGACAGAGUCCCAGUAGAGAUGCCACCAGCCAGUCUGAGAGGGACUGCGUGCCGAGAUAUUCCCUAACAGCAGCGUCAGAGAUGGAAGAGUGAAAACUACACCUGCUGAAGUCCAAAUUCAGUUCCCAAAGAGAAGUGACACCAUAAACUGGUUUGAGACCAGAGUAAAAACACUUUUCAUCAGUUUUAUUGGUGGCCAGAGACGAUGGAUCCGAGGCAGAACACUACAAAUCUUCUUUUCUCACAUAUGUAUUUGUAGUUAUGUGGACAUUUUAUCUUUAAAUGUCUACAAGCAAUUAAUAGAGUAUAUCUGUAAAGUGCUGGAAGUUCAUGUCUUGUUUAAUCUGUUAAAGAAAAAUAGUUUUUCACUGUUUUACGUCAUCACCACAAACUAUGCACACAUUUC